GUCUUUGUGGUGUAGUGGUUAACACGCUCGGCGCGUAUUCGAAAGGUCUGUGGUUCGAGUCCCAGUGAGGGCA
rnacentral:tRNA from 1 species